rnacentral:rRNA from 1 species
UACGGGGGGAGCAAGCGUUGUUCGGAUUUACUGGGCGUAAAGGGCGCGUAGGCGGUCAGCGCAAGUCAGUUGUGAAAUCUCUGGGCUUAACCCAGAACGGUCAACUGAUACUGCGCGACUAGAGUGCAGAAGGGGCAACUGGAAUUCUCGGUGUAGCGGUGAAAUGCGUAGAUAUCGAGAGGAACACCAGAGGCGAAGGCGGCGACCUGGACAGGUACUGACACUCAACUACGAAAGCGUGGGGAGCAAACAGG